GUAGGUGGCAAGCGUUGUCCGGGAAUUAUUGGGGCGUAAAGCGCGCGCAGGCGGUUCUUUAAGUCUGAUGUGAAAGCCCACGGGCUCAACCGUGGAGGGUCAUUGGAAACUGGAGAACUUGAGUACAGAAGAGGAAAGCGGAAUUCCACGUGUAGCGGUGAAAUGCGUAGAGAUGUGGAGGAACACCAGUGGCGAAGGCGGCUUUCUGGUCUGUAACUGACGCUGAGGCGCGAAAGCGUGGGGAGCAAACAGGAUUAGAUACCCUGGUAGUCCACGCCGUAAACGAUGAGUGCUGAGUGUUAGGGGGUUUCCGCCCCUUAGUGCUGCAGCUAACGCAUUAAGCACUCCGCCUGGGGAGUACGGCAGCAAGGCUG
rnacentral:rRNA from 1 species